rnacentral:tRNA from 1 species
GCGGGUGUAGUUCAAUGGUAGAAUUCCAGCCUUCCAAGCUGGCAGCGUGGGUCCGAUUCCCAUCACCCGCUCCA